AUGCAGKCGAGCAGAACWGAAGGGAGCUUGCWCCCGGAUGUUAGCGGCGGACGGGUGAGUAACACGUGGGUAACCUGCCUGUAAGACUGGGAUAACUCCGGGAAACCGGAGCUAAUACCGGAUAGUUCCUUGAACCGCAUGGUUCAAGGAUGAAAGACGGUUUCGGCUGUCACUUACAGAUGGACCCGCGGCGCAUUAGCUAGUUGGUGGGGUAAUGGCUCACCAAGGCGACGAUGCGUAGCCGACCUGAGAGGGUGAUCGGCCACACUGGGACUGAGACACGGCCCAGACUCCUACGGGAGGCAGCAGUAGGGAAUCUUCCGCAAUGGACGAAAGUCUGACGGAGCAACGCCGCGUGAGUGAUGAAGGUUUUCGGAUCGUAAAGCUCUGUUGUUAGGGAAGAACAAGUGCGAGAGUAACUGCUCGCACCUUGACGGUACCUAACCAGAAAGCCACGGCUAACUACGUGCCAGCAGCCGCGGUAAUACGUAGGUGGCAAGCGUUGUCCGGAAUUAUUGGGCGUAAAGGGCUCGCAGGCGGUUUCUUAAGUCUGAUGUGAAAGCCCCCGGCUCAACCGGGGAGGGUCAUUGGAAACUGGGAAACUUGAGUGCAGAAGAGGAGAGUGGAAUUCCACGUGUAGCGGUGAAAUGCGUAGAGAUGUGGAGGAACACCAGUGGCGAAAGCGACUCUCUGGUCUGUAACUGACGCU
rnacentral:rRNA from 1 species